rnacentral:rRNA from 1 species
UACGUAGGGUGCGAGCGUUAAUCGGAAUACUGGGCGUAAAGCGUGCGCAGGCGGUUAUGUAAGACAGUUGUGAAAUCCCCGGGCUCAACCUGGGAAUUGCAUCUGUGACUGCAUAGCUAGAGUACGGUAGAGGGGGAUGGAAUUCCGCGUGUAGCAGUGAAAUGCGUAGAUAUGCGGAGGAACACCGAUGGCGAAGGCAAUCCCCUGGACCUGUACUGACGCUCAUGCACGAAAGCGUGGGGAGCAAACAGG